UUGAAUGAGAACGGUGAACUCGGAAGUGAGAUCUGAGUCCGUUAAGACGUUUUGAAAUUUUUGACUUUUUGACGAUGAAUAGUAAAAUACUGCUAUUUCGUCUUUUUGUCGACUUUCAAAAUCUUACGUGCACGUCGUCGAGAAAUAUUCUUAAUUUUUCGAUACGAGUCCAAUAAUGAAAGUUUUUAUUUUUGGACGACGAGUGAAUAGUAAAUCGGGAUUUCUCGAUAAACGAACCGAGCUCGUUUAUCAGAAUUUCGAGAACGAGCUUGCGUUUUCUAUAUUUAUAUAGAAUUACGAGUGUAAUGAAAGUGAGUAGGAGUUAAGAGGGUGAGUAACGAAGAAUGUGGGUAAUUAGUCGUUAAAACGAGACGAAACGGGAUAUUUAACGACUAACGGGUUAAUAUCUUAAAUAUCUAAGGCUACCCCACCAAAACCACCCCCCAAACCACCCAACACCCCUUUAUCUACCUCACUCACGGCUGAAUUCAGCCAACACACUCCAAUCAUCUUUGCUCUCUCACACACACAACACCCAAAACACCUACUUAUCACGCCAAACACCAUUUUUAGCUUGGACGGAGGUUUCAAGCUCCGAUUUGAGCACCGAGACGAGCACCGAUCAUCUUUUCGAUCACGUAUCUAAGUAGGUUGAGCUGAUGUGAUGAUGGUGCUGCAAUGAGCGGAGUCUCCAGGGUUGUUAAUAAAUAGUUAACCUGUCUAGAAUAUGUCUUCAUACAUAUGUCUAGCUACUUUCCGCUGCAAGAUGUUGUUGAUGUUAUAGUAUGUUAUGUCAUACUUUGAGUCUUAAAAGAAUGGUUUCAUAUGAUGUAUAACUUGAUUAAUGAUAUUAAUUAAGUUUUAUGUUGUCUUUCA